rnacentral:rRNA from 1 species
UUUUAAAUGGCCGCAGUAUUUUGACUGUGCAAAGGUAGCAUAAUCAUUAGUUUUUUAAUUAAAAGCUUGUAUGAAAGGCUGGACGAGGUAAAAUCUGUCUCUAUUUAAAUUAUAGUAGAAUUUAACUUUUAAGUUAAAAGGCUUAAAUAUUAUUAAAAGACGAGAAGACCCUAUAGAUCUUUAUAGUUUAUUAAAUUAAAUUAAUUUAGAAAUAUUAAUGUUUUAUUUAAUUAAAUUAUUUUAUUGGGGUAAUAAAAAGAUUGAGUUAAUUCUUUUUUAUAAUAAACAUUAAUUUAUGAAUAUUAAUGAUCCAGUUUUACUGAUUAUAAGAUUAAGUUACCUUAGGGAUAACAGCGUAAUUUUUUUAGAGAGUUCAUAUCGAUAAAAAAGUUUGCGACCUCGAUGUUGGAUUAAAGAUUAUUUUAGGUGUAGAAGCUUAAUAAUUUUGGUCUGUUCGACCAUUAAAUCUUUACAUGAUCUGAGUUCAGACCGGCGUAAGCCAGGUCGGUUUCUAUCUUUAAUAAAAUAAAAUAUUUUAGUACGAAAGGACCAAAUAUUUGAUAUAUUUAUAUUUAAUUUAUUGAAUAUUA